UUUUUUUUUUUUUUUUUUGGCUGUGCCGGUGACAUACAGAAAUUCCCAGGCCAGGGAUCAAACCCACACCACAGCUGCAACCCAAGCCAUGGCAGUGACAACACGAGAUCCUUAACCUGCUAAGCCAAGGAAUUUCUAUACUUCAAUUUUUAAAAAAGAUAUGGUGUGCAUAUAUGUACAAUGAAAUAUCAUUCAGCCAUAAAAAAGAAGGAACGGAGUUCCCGUCAUGGUUCAGUGGUUAAUGAACACGAUUAGUAUCCAUAAGGAGGCAGUUUCAACCCCUGGCCUUGCUCAGUGGGUUAAGGAUCAGCAUUGCCGUGAGCUGUGGUGAAGGUCUCAGAUGCGGUUCGUAUCUGGUAUUGCUGUGGCCAUGGAGUAGGCCGGCACCUGCAGCUUUGAUUCAGUUCCUAGCCUGGGAACCUCCAUAUGCCACAGGUGCAGCCCUAAAAAGACAAAAAAGGGAAGAAGAAGAAGAAGCAAUUCCUGCCAUUUACAAUAACAGAGACGGUCCUCGAGGGCAUUGUGCUAAGUGAAAUAAGUGAGACAGAGAAAGACAAAUACUGUAUGAUCUCUCAUGCAGGUGGAAUCUAAAAAACAAUAGCGAGAAAUAAGCAAGCUGGUAGAUACAGAAAACAGAUCGGUGGUUGCCAGAAUCAGGUGGGUGGAGGGUGGAAGAACUGGGUGGAAGGGGUCAGAAGCGACAUGCUCCCAGUGAUGAAAGGAUGAAGUCUUGGGGAUGUGAUGCACAGCCUGGUGACGGUGGCUAACAAAACUGUACCGCAUAUUUGAAAGCUGUUAAAGAGAGGAGAUCCUAAAAGAGUCAUCACAAGAAAAAACAAUUUUUUAAACUACCUAUGGUACCAGAUGUUAACCAGAUUUAUUGUGGUGAUUCUUUCACAAUAUACACAAAUAUCAAAUCACAAUGCUGUAUAGCUGAAAAUAAUAUAAUGUCAAUAUACGUUAACUAUACCUCAAUAAAAAUUAUUUUUUUUGUCCUUUUAGGGCUGCGCCAGCAGCAUACGGAGGUUCCCAGGCUAGAGGUCAAAUCGGAGCUACAGCUGCUGGCCUAUGCCACGGCCACAGCAACGAAGGAUCUGCGUCCCAUCUGCCACCUACACCACAGCUCAAGGCAGCACCAGAUCCUUAACCCAGUGAGCAAAGCCAGGGAUCCAACCCAAGUCCUUGUGGAUACUAGUGCAAAAAUAUUUUUAUUGAGGAGUUCAAGUCAUGGCUCAGUGGAAAUGAACCUGUACCCAUGAGGAUGCAGGGUCAAUCCCUAGCCUCCCUCAAUGGGUCAGGGAUCUGGUGUUGCCAUGAGCUGUGGUGUAGGUCCCGGACGAAGCUCGGAUCCUGUGGUGCUAUGGCUGUGGUGUAGACCACAGCUGCAGCUCCAAUUUGAUCCCCAGCCUGGGAACUUCCCUAUGCUUUGGGUGAGGCCCUAAAAAGAAAAAAGAAAAAAUUCUUAAUUAAAAAAUGUUUUAAUUUUUCGAAAAAAGCUACCCCAGGAAGUUCCUUGAUGGUGUAGUGAUUAAGGAUUCAGCAUUGUCACUAUGAUAGCUUGGAUUCUAUCUCCGGCCCAGGAACUUCCACAGCAGCACCCCCUAAAAUAUGUGAUCCCACUGCCACAACACAAUGGAAACAGACAGUAUGUUUGGCAGUUAACAGUACAUGGAACCUCAAUGAAAUUUUCCUUUUAAGGACCUACACUGUAAACAAUGGAGCUAGGCAGUUGUCUCACUAAUUUCUGUUUCCAUAAUGCCACACACUCCAGUGCAUGAGUGUGAAGAUGACUGAAUUGCUUUACUCUUAGAUCAUUUUAUAUUAUACUAUCAAAACUUGAGAGCUCCAUACAUUCAGCAGAUUUAUUCAGAACACUUUUUUUAUUGAGAAAAUAAAAAUUGGAUUGUGGAGUUCCCCUGGUGGCUCAGCAGAAAUGAACCUGACUGGUAUCCUUGAGGACACAGGUUCAAUCUCUGGCCUUGCUCAGUGGGUUAAGGAUCCAGCAUUGCCAUGAGCUGUGGUGUAGGUCGCAGAUGUGACUCGAUCCUGCAUCGAGGUGGCUGUGGUGUAGGCCAGAGACUGCAGCUCCAAUUCAACCCCUAGCCUGGGAAUCUCUAUAUGCCUCGGGUAUGCCCCCCGCCAAAAAAAAGACAAAAAAAAAAAAUGGAUUGUUUUCACAUUUUCAAGAAUUUGAGGUGGGAAAAAUAUUAGCAAAUUGCAAGGAAAUAACUGUAAUGUAAUUUCUUGCAACUGAUUUUUAUGAUAAUGAAAGUGUUUCCAUCCUGCUCAUUAUUGAAACUUAAAAAACAAUCCAUGGAAGUAUAGCACAGGGAACUCUAUCUAGUCACUUGUGAUGGAACAUGAUGGAGGAUAAUGUGAGAAAAAGAAUGUGUGUGUGUGUGUGACUGGGUUACUUUGCUGUAUAGUAGAAAAUUGACAGAACACUGUAAACCAACUAUAAUGGAAAAAAUAAAAAUUAAAAAAAAAAAUUCAUGGAAGUUCUCAUUGUGGCACAGGAGGAAAGAAUCCGAUUAGCAUCCAUGAGGAUGCAGAUCUGAUCCCUGGCCUGGCUCAGUGGGUUAAGGAUCCAGCGUUGCUAUGAACUAUGGUGUGGAAAAUGGAGCUCAGAUCCCGCGUUGCUGUAGCUGUGGUGUUAGGUCGGCAGUAGGCCAGCAGCUACAGCUUUGAUUCGGUCCCUAGCCUGGGAACUUCCAUAUGCCCUGGGUGCAGCCCUAAAAAGCAAAAAAAAAAAAAAAAAAAA
rnacentral:lncRNA from 1 species